AGAGCGAACGCUGGCGGCAGGCCUAACACAUGCAAGUCGAACGCCGUAGCAAUACGGAGUGGCAGACGGGAUAGUAACACGUGGGAACGCGCCCUUCGGUUCGGAAUAACUCAGGGAAACUUGAGCUAAUACCGGAUACGCCCUUACGGGGAAAGAUUUAUUGCCGAAGGAACGGCCCGCGUCGGAUUAGCUAGUUGGUGAGGUAAUGGCUCACCAAGGCGACGAUCCGUAGCU
rnacentral:rRNA from 1 species